CCUGACGAUUGGUGCUAUGGACGGAAUGUUCAUGUUCCCAUCCUCAAAUUCAUCUGUGGAAGUCCUGACCCCAGUGUGGCUGUAUUUGGAGAUAGAGUCUUUAUAGAAGUAAUUAAGGCUAAAUUUGGUUGUAAGGGUGGGACCCUGAUCCAACAGAAUCAAUGUCCUUGUAAGAAGAGCCAGGAGAGAGCUUGCUUUCUCUCCACUAUGUGAGGACACCGUGAGGAGGCAGCUCUCUGCAAGCCAGAAGAAGAGCCCUCUCUGGAAACCAAAUCAGCAGUUGGAGCAAAAUAGGAAGUAGUAAAGAUUCCUUGAAAUCUAUUUCAGAGCUGUUCCUUUGGGGCUAUGAAAUAAAAGACAAGACUGGUAGAAAUGACUUAAAAUGCAAAAAUGGCAAAGGUAAUGAUCACCGUGGGUAGGUUAUAAACGACUGUGGAGGUUUGGGGAGGCUAAAUCAUCCAGCCAACGGAAAAGUAGUCAUUUGAAUCUGAAGACAGUGAGCCUCUGCCUGCGUCUGUCUCAUGUAUUGGAAUAUCCUCUUAUUAAAUUACAGUGUUUUAUAACUUGUGAAUAAAAUUGGUAUCAUGUUUACUAUGCAAAAGCCUCGCUAUUUUUCAGAUGGAUAUAUAUUUAAUAUGAAAUUGAAAUGUAAUAUCUAAA
rnacentral:lncRNA from 1 species